GCAAAGAUUGAUCCAACAGUAUAUUUCUGUCUUGCUAAUUAGUAAAGUUUACAAAAAAGUGACUGUUGUCAUCGGCAGAGAAGGGAAGUCAAACUUGUGAAGUACUACAAAGGAUCUGCAGAAGUGAAAUCAUUGGCAGGUUCGUCUGGAAAGCAUUGAUUUUGAUGAAAUGGCAUUUUCUAAGAAAAAGAUCAUGCUGUCAGAAUAUUUUCAACCAGCUCUAGUGAGGAUGUCCGUUUCCAGAAUUGUCAAGCGUUAUUAAAAGAAAGGAAGUUCACCUGUUCAUGCUUGGAAAUGGGAGGACUAACUCAAAGGAUGAAAAGAGCCUACUAUAAGACGUAACGACGAGUUUAAUGCGCGCUUGUCCUGGACAUCCGGAGUUUGUCUGCGUGGAGCCUAGAAACCUUCAUGUGAUUGUUCGUGUUUUGUCUGCGUGGAGCCUUGCAACCUCCACGUGUGUUCGUGUUUUUUGUUGUAACCGCAACUCAAGCAAGUUCUCAGCCUACACCGCGACCAUCUCGGUGUAAGUAAAAUAAUCUUAAAAUCAA